rnacentral:rRNA from 1 species
CCUACGGGAGGCAGCAGUGAGGAAUAUUGGUCAAUGGCCGGAAGGCUGAACCAGCCAUGCCGCGUGAAGGUCAGUGCCCUAUGGGCGUUAAACUUCUUUUGUGCGGGAGCAAUAAUGGUCACGUGUGGCCAGACGAGAGUACCGUACGAAUAAGCAUCGGCUAACUCCGUGCCAGCAGCCGCGGUAAUACGGGGGAUGCAAGCGUUAUCCGGAUUUAUUGGGUUUAAAGGGUGCGUAGGCUGUGAGGUAAGUCAGCGGUGAAAUGCCCCCGGUCAACGGGGUAAAGUGCCAUUGAUACUGGCUUGCUUGAAUGCGGAUGCGGUGGGAGGAAUGUGUGGUGUAGCGGUGAAAUGCAGAGAUAUCACACAGAACACCGAUUGCGAAGGCAUCUCACGAGUCCGCGAUUGACGCUGAUGCACGAAAGCGUGGGUAUCAAACAGGAUUAGAUACCCGGGUAGUC